GCUUCGGUGGUUUAGUGGUAAAAUCCAUCGUUGCCAUCGAUGGGCCCCGUGUUCGAUUCACGGCCGAUGCA